rnacentral:rRNA from 1 species
AUUGAACGCUGGCGGCAGGCCUAACACAUGCAAGUCGCACGAGUGGCGGACGGGUGAGUAAUGUCUGGGAAACUGCCUGAUGGAGGGGGAUAACUACUGGAAACGGUAGCUAAUACCGCAUACCAUCAGAUGUGCCCAGAUGGGAUUAGCUUGUUGGGGGGGUCAAGGCUCACCAAGGCGACGAUCCCUAGCUGGUCUGAGAGGAUGACCAGCCAACCUGGAACUGUGACACGGUCCAGACUCCUACGCGAGGGAGCAGUGGGGAAUAUUGCACAAUGGGCGCAAGCCUGAUGCAGCGAUGCCGCGUGUAUGAAGAAGGCCUUCGGGUUGUAAAGUACUUUCAGCGGGGAGGCGUUACCCGCAGAAGAAGCACCGGCUAACUCCGUGCCAGCAGCCGCGGUAAUAC